AGUAACGCGUGGGCAACCUGCCUUAUACAGGGGAUAACAGCUGGAAACAGCUGCUAAUACCGCAUAAGCGCACAGUGCUGCAUGGUACAGUGUGAAAAACUGAGGUGGUAUAAGAUGGGCCCGCGUCUGAUUAGCUGGUUGGGAGGGUAACGGCCUACCAAGGCGACGAUCAGUAGCCGGCCUGAGAGGGCGGACGGCCACAUUGGGACUGAGACACGGCCCAGACUCCUACGGGAGGCAGCAG
rnacentral:rRNA from 1 species